GUACCUUUGCGGUGCAUAGGUGUACGAGGAACAACCAAAUCUUGUCACCCCGUCUGAAUAGGGAACUUGGUGCGAAGCCAAGACUGUACUCUCAGCUGUAACUCCUGAAGUGCGCCCCUGCAUUAAGAUGUCACUGUAGCACGACCCCUACAAGCCUUCGCGUGAAGGUGCUGUAGGUAGCUAUGGGAAGACCCAGGGUAUCGCCCGUUUUGUACGACUCGAUGUGAGCUAUACGAACUAGGGAGAAGUCAGAAGACCUGCCUGUGCCAUAGGACUUUU
rnacentral:ncRNA from 2 species